UGUUUAAUAAAAACACAGCACUGUGCAAACACGAAAGUGGACGUAUACGGUGUGACGCCUGCCCGGUGCUGGAAGGUUAAUUGAUGGGGUUAGGCGUAAGCAGAAGCUCCUGAUCGAAGCCCCAGUAAACGGCGGCCGUAACUAUAACGGUCCUAAGGUAGCGAAAUUCCUUGUCGGGUAAGUUCCGACCUGCACGAAUGGCGUAAUGAUGGCCAGGCUGUCUCCACCCGAGACUCAGUGAAAUUGAAAUUGCCGUGAAGAUGCGGUGUACCCGUGGCAAGACGGAAAGACCCCGUGAACCUUUACUAUAGCUUGACAGUGAACA
rnacentral:rRNA from 1 species